GAGUUUGAUCUUGGCUCAGGAUGAACGCCGGCGGUGUGCCUAAUACAUGCAAGUCGUACGCACUGGCUCAACUGAUUGAUGGUGCUUGCACCUGAUUGACGAUGGAUCACCAGUGAGUGGCGGACGGGUGAGUAACACGUAGGUAACCUGCCCCGGAGCGGGGGAUAACAUUUGGAAACAGAUGCUAAUACCGCAUAACAACAAAGGCCACAUGGCUUUUGUUUGAAAGAUGGCUUUGGCCAUCACUCUGGGAUGGACCUGCGGUGCAUUAGCUAGUUGGUAAGGUAACGGCUUACCAAGGCGAUGAUGCAUAGCCGAGUUGAGAGACUGAUCGGCCACAAUGGAACUGAGACACGGUCCAUACUCCUACGGGAGGCAGCAGUAGGGAAUCUUCCACAAUGGGCGCAAGCUUGAUGGAGCAACACCGCGUGAGUGAAGAAGGGUUUCGGCUCGUAAAGCUCUGUUGUUGGAGAAGAACGUGCGUGAGAGUAAC
rnacentral:rRNA from 1 species